rnacentral:rRNA from 1 species
UACGAAGGGGACUAGCGUUGUUCGGAAUCACUGGGCGUAAAGCGCACGUAGGCGGAUUGGUCAAUUAGGGGUGAAAUCCUGGAGCUCAACUCCAGAACUGCCUUUAAUACUGCCAAUCUCGAGUCCGGAAGAGGUGAGUGGAACUCCUAGUGUAGAGGUGGAAUUCGUAGAUAUUAGGAAGAACACCAGUGGCGAAGGCGGCUCACUGGUCCGGUACUGACGCUGAGGUGCGAAAGCGUGGGGAGCAAACAGG